rnacentral:misc_RNA from 1 species
GUAGGAUGCAGUAUUAAUCAAAGAAAACUUCGAAACGAACUCCAAAUCAGCCAAAAUUCAGAGAGAUGCAUUUGGAGAGAAUGGCAAAGAAUUUAUUCAUGAUAAUGCAAAACCAAACUUUUAUAUAUAAAAACAAAGAAAAAGAAUUUCAAAAUCAAUGAAAAUGCUAUAGUUUGUUCAAAGUUUUACCUGGUGUAAAACUUUAUUGUUUGAUGAAAUGUUAACAAAUAAUCAUAAAGAUGUAGCGCUGCAGUGUCAAGCUACAAUGAAUUUGUCAAAAAUGCAACCAAGAGAUGAUUUUAAUAAAAUGUGUAAAGG